GUAACAUGAUGAUUACAAGAUAAGUUGAAUAUCAAGAAAUGAGGCCAAUUUGCCUCUGUGGAAUUUUGACCAGUUUUAAGAUUCUGCAAUUUGCACAACUAUAGGAAUUCAGUAAUAAAUUUCAUGAUCACAAAACACAUAAUAAUUUCAGCACCAAAUUAAAUUCCCAGGAAUGCAAGUUACAGAGUGCAGACCCUGCCACUUCCUGUAACUCAUCUAUUGCCAAUCUAUUUACUGAUUUUACUCCUUCAAACUUCUUCUUCAUAAAAAGUAUUAGAAGCAAUUACAUAUUCUAGAUAAAAAGAUUCAUGAAUGGCUCCCAAACCUUUCAAUCGUUUCACAAUCAGAAUGUAAAUCCCAGAAUACAAAGAUUCAAGUUCAUAAAUUACAAACAAGCAUGUAAAUGAACACUCUCAGAUUCAUAAGACCAAAAUAAACUCAACCUACAUAGGAAUUUCAUCAAACACUAUUAAGACGUGUGAAGGGUUAUCAUAUGAUUCAUAUAAAUAAAAAUGGUUCUAAUAUUCUCGAACAAACUGAUUCGGCUGUUCUGCGACAUCCAAACCAAGCAACUAUUCUAACAUAAUUUCAAUUACAGAGGAGUAGCGAAAAACCCUAAUCUUACAAGAAUAAAUCAAACUAACAGAUUGAUUAAAGAAGCAGGAGUCUUCAUACCUGAUUUAGGUGAGGGAUAUCUUGGAAAAUGGUUUUGGAACCGUGAAAUUGAGAGAAAUGAUGCUUCUCUUCACUGUCGAUUUUCUCUAUUCGACGGUGACGCUCGAGAUCUUCACGGGAGCUGUCGAAGAGAGUUGAGCGGUGUGAACCCUAGAGCAUACGCGAGAGAGAGAGAGAGAGAGAGAAGAUACGCGGUUUGAUUUUUAAUUGGGUUGUUUCGCGUGUUUUGAGUUGUUACGUUGUUUUGUACUCAAAACACUCAAAAUGACUUUUUCAGCAUUUUCUGUUUUCUUUGCAAUUUUUUUUUUGUUUUGCAAAAUUCAUUUUCGAAAAUGAGAAGAAGAACGCGUUUUCACCGUUUUGAAAAAUCGAAAACAGAAAACGGCUUGAAAACGACAAAGAGAACAGGCCCUUAGUUGCCCGGUCUCGCAUUUCAGUUGAAAUUUUUCAUAUUCUUUUUCACACUUGAAGAAAAGUUGCAAAUGGGAAAGCACAAAAAACAAAAAAACUAUAAAUGCAAAAGAAAAAAAAAUUUAACGGCAUAUAGAGAAGGAUAUGAAAGUGGAGCUCAAGAAAGCAAAAUAAAGAUGUCACUUACAAUUUACAAGAUGAUUGUGUGAAGAUUGUAUUGAAGAGUUCUCUUUGUGGAAGAAAGUAUACAGAGGCGAAAAUUAGUGUUGAAGCGAGGAAGUGCCAACAAUAAUGUCUCAUAUUGGACUUUAUCUUCCAAAAAGUAGCUUACAGUGGAAGAUAUUUUGGAUUGAAAAGUG
rnacentral:lncRNA from 1 species